UAGGGAAUCUUCGGCAAUGGACGAAAGUCUGACCGAGCAACGCCGCGUGAGUGAAGAAGGUUUUCGGAUCGUAAAACUCUGUUGUUAGAGAAGAACAAGGACGUUAGUAACUGAACGUCCCCUGACGGUAUCUAACCAGAAAGCCACGGCUAACUACGUGCCAGCAGCCGCGGUAAUACGUAGGUGGCAAGCGUUGUCCGGAUUUAUUGGGCGUAAAGCGAGCGCAGGCGGUUUCUUAAGUCUGAUGUGAAAGCCCCCGGCUCAACCGAGGAGGGUCAUUGGAAACUGGGAGACUUAAGUGCAGAAGAGGAGAGUGGAAUUCCAGGUGUAGCGGUGAAAUGCGAAAAAAUAUGGAGGAACACCAGUGGCGAAGGCGGCUCUCUGGUCUGUAACUGACGCUGAGGCUCGAAAGCGUGGGGAGCAAACAGG
rnacentral:rRNA from 1 species